GCCGCCUGGCCAAGCGGUAUAGCGUGUCACAGUAUUAGGUGCCAUGACAAGAUUAGCGGUUCAAUUCCGCUAUUGAGCA